rnacentral:rRNA from 1 species
GUACGCUGGCGGCACGCCUAACACAUGCAAGUCGAACGAAGUAGCAAUACUUAGUGGCAGACGGGUGAGUAACAUGUAGGUAUCUGCCCUUUGGCCUGGAAUAACACGAGGAAACUUGUGCUAAUACCGGAUAAGUCUUUACGGAGAAAGCUUUAUGCACCAUUGGAUGAGCCUGCACUUGAUUAGUUUGUUGGUGGGGUAAUGGCCUACCAAGACUUUGAUCAAUAGCUGAUUUGAGAGGAUGAUCAGCCACAUUGGGACUGAGACACGGCCCAAACUCCUACGGGAGGCAGCAGUGGGGAAU